ACUAAUUCAAAAAGUGUACACUGAAGCGUUCUUUUUACCAGAAGUGACGUCAAGAGUUACUGUUCUUUUCAUUAGUAUAUACAACAGAACUUAGUUCAACAGUUCACUGAACUGCUUGCCCCAGGUCUUGAGCAAGUGCAAGCAGUGCAAAGGUGGAAAGUCUGAAAUGGCCUGGUUCUUUUCAACUGAACUGCUGCACUAGUUCAGAGCGCUAUAUUAGAUCCGAAGGGUGUUAAUAGUCAAAUUAAGGAAACUAUAUUGAGUCCUAGUCAAGGAGAUAACGAUUCCCCACCAACGCAAUUAGGUAUAUGAUUAUCAGAUGUAUAGUGAGAGCUUUAUAGAAUUUUAAUUUUUUAAAAUAUUAAAAACUGAAUAUUUUUUAGAAUAUUAAAACAUGGAAACAACGGGAAGUGCAUACAUUAAAAGGGAUGCAGCUGAAAAUAUUUUGGUUGAUGAAAAUGGAAAUGUUACUUGUGAAUCCAAAGAACGAACAAACAAAUGAUACAAAUAGUUAUGGAAAUUGUAGUCUAGAAAAUAAUGGUAACGAUGAAAAUAAUGCUAAUUAUGAAAAUAAUGCUAAUAGAACAAACCAAGAUAGAAGAGAGACACUUUUUGGGAUGAUGCAACAACUAAACUGUUUUUGGAAUUAUAUGAGAAAAACAGUGAUCUCUUAGUGAACAGAAAAAUUAAAACCAAGAAAAUAUUAUGGCAAAAAAUAACAGAAAGUAUGCAAAAACAUGGAUACAACGUGACACUUGUACAAGUCGAAAAUAAAUAUAAGUCUUUAGAGAGAUCGUUCAAAAAUAUGGUUUUAAAUAAUAAUAAAACAAGCAGAGCUCGCAUGUCAUGUCCAUAUGAACAGUAAAUAUUAAAUUUAUUUCAAGCUUAAUGUAACUUUAUGGAUAACA